rnacentral:sRNA from 1 species
CUCUUAUCUUCUCCAU